rnacentral:rRNA from 1 species
UACGUAGGUGGCAAGCGUUAUCCGGAAUUACUGGGCGUAAAGCGCACGCAGGCGGCGUAGCAAGUUCGACGUGAAAACUCCCGGCUUAACUGGGAGAGGUCGUUGAAGACUGCUAUGCUUGAGGCAAGGAGAGGGGUAUAGAAUUCCUGGUGUAGUGGUGGAAUGCGUAGAUAUCAGGGGGAAUACCAGUGGCGAAAGCGGUACCCUAGCCUUAGCCUGACGCUCAUGUGCGAAAGCGUGGGGAGCGAACGGG